rnacentral:lncRNA from 1 species
UAAGGUUCUCAAGCAUCUUUCAACCUCAUUUUGAUCAAAAGUAUCUCAAAGUUUUAUUGCUUAUUUCUUAAGAAAAGUCAAAGGUUCAUGUGUUUAUUUUCAUGCCUUCUUCAACAAGUUACCUCAAUCUUUGAUAAAUUUAAUCAAAAUACAUUCAGGGAUACCUUAUUUUGAGUCCAUAUGAUCAUUCACGUACCUUGAAAUGAAAGAGAAGUCCACAUACACAAGUUUAUUCCAAGAGGUUUGACCAAUAAGUCAACAUUUGAAGUCAAAG